rnacentral:rRNA from 1 species
AGCGAACGCUGGCGGCAGGCCUAACACAUGCAAGUCGAACGAACUCUUCGGAGUUAGUGGCGGACGGGUGAGUAACACGUGGGAACGUGCCUUUAGGUUCGGAAUAACUCAGGGAAACUUGUGCUAAUACCGAAUGUGCCCUUCGGGGGAAAGAUUUAUCGCCUUUAGAGCGGCCCGCGUCUGAUUAGCUAGUUGGUGAGGUAAAGGCUCACCAAGGCGACGAUCAGUAGCUGGUCUGAGAGGAUGAUCAGCCACAUUGGGACUGAGACACGGCCCAAACUCCUACGGGAGGCAGCAGUGGGGGAUCUUGCGCAAUGGGGGAAAGGCUGACGCAGCCAUGGCGCGUGAAUGAUGAAGGUCUUAGGAUUGUAAAAUUCUUUCACCGGGGACGAUAAUGACGGUACCCGGAGAAGAAGCCCCGGCUAACUUCGUG